UCGGCGGCGGCAGAGCUUACCGCGACUUCGAGCCAUGCAGCCGCCUAUUCGGAAGCCCUUCUCGCCCGAGCAGCGAACGCGGCCAGGACCGCGUCGUCAAUCGGCCGCCGGCAUUUGGAGCCGUCCUUUCGAUGCUGCCGGGCACGCCGGCGCGCGCCAGGGAAGAGCCGCCGGUGGCCGCCUCCUCGCCAGUGCUCGUGGCAGAGCGGGUCCGAGCCCCUUCCUGCUCGCUGCUGCCAGUGUUUCCCGGAGCUCGCGCAGCGGCGUCGACGCCAAUGUCGAAGAAGCCAACGGGUCACUUCCUGCGCCUGGAUCAUCGCCGAAAGCGUCCGAGGAAAUGGCUGCAGACUCGUCAUUGUUGCAGCACGUUUGCCUUCACCGAAUGACAAGCUCCUAAUGCCUUAUUGACGAACUGCGUCGCAGAACCCAGUUGGCAUGGUCGUUCAUUGUAGUACAUACUACUGUUCGGAAAAAAAUGGAAGGCCGCUGCAUUUCGGCGCGAGAGCAGAUAAUAUAGCGAGUUAUCUAUUUGAAUAGAAAUAGACGUAAAAUAUCCCCUGUGGUAGAUAUCGCAAUUCUGUCGCAUUUCAGGCGGACACAUACUUGCAAGACAGAUCGCAGAGUAAACAAACACUAAGUGAAGACUAUUUCACUGAUUAACUUUGUAAUUAUUCGUUUUAGUGUCACAACUGCGGAAUCGAUCCAAGCAAUAAUGAAUUCGUAUCUACAUAGCAGAAAUCAUGUUUUUAGCACCAGUUAAUGUCGAACUAUGCUACACACAUUUAUGCGGUGCACGUUGUUACGUGUGCAUAAAUUAAAAAUUCUCAGAAACUACAUGGUUAGCUACCUAGAUGCGUUACAAAAUUUAUACUGAGUUGCUCAAGACGACCUCGAAGAAUAUGCCGUAGAUGUCAUCCAUCCGCGAUGUAGUACUUUUCUUAGAAGUCUUCCAAGUACAAACAAACAAACAAACAGACAAACAAACGAACAAACUAACUAUAACUAACUAACAAGCAAGAAAGCAAGCAAACCAACAAAUUAAUGAAAAGAAACAAACUGACUCACCAACAAGCAAGCAAACAAAAACAAAAAUAUACAGAACGGGAAGGCUGCGUGCUCCAAGGGAAAUGGGGAUAAAUACGGCUUGCCUUAAUAAUGCCGUUUUUGCCAAAAGUGUCACUGAUUGAUAUCUGUAUCUGCGCCCGCCCCAUUCGUGUAAGUUUCGCUGCUAAGGCAUGUAUACAUAAUGGCAAAAUACCUUGGCCUGUCUGCGUUUGUUCUCGGCGGAAAUAUAACACAAUAGCUGCGGCGCCAGUCGGCUUGACACUUUGCGCUCUGUGGCUUCUCAUGCGUUCAGAAUUUAUUGCACGUGCAAGCACCCUGCACAACAACCAAAUAAAAUAAAUAAAGGUAUACUCGUAUCACUUGUUUUCUGCACAUGAGCCAAGUCAGUGGAACGAACGCAAUGUGGAAGUUCGAUUUGCAGCGAAGGGUUUAACCGUGCAGAGUAGUUCGCCUUAUAUUUGCAGUAUUCCACUCUUGGCUUAAGAGAGCGCAUGCGAGUAUGGCGAGGCUGCCUCGUAGCGUCCGCCUGAUAGAAAGUCGAAUCGAGACGGCAGUGGGUCUUCGUCGUCUCAUGUUAGAGCAGCCGAGUAUGCUCGGAGAAGAGAGUGACUGAAAAGUUGAAGGAACUCGCCAAAAAUAGCGACCCAUGUCAAAUGGCACACAGCUGACGGAAGCUGAAGAUAUGUCUUUGCGUAUCCGCGGGGCUGACAGGAGCGCUUGCCCGCGGAGAACGAGAGCGCGCAGAGCUUGCUUGUCGGAGAGUCACGAGAGAAUGAAACAAACCACUGCGAUGAAGUGAAAGGGCCAGCGACUGCGGCACACUUACUGUGCGACGAGUCCGCUCGAACCACUUGUUCAAAGGAGGCAAUAAUACUCACGCAACAAACAAAAGGCUGACCACUUGCUACAUAUACAUAUUUUUUAAUGCAUCUUUCCUUUGACCAGGUGAUUCGAUCGCCCUCUCACAAGUUGCAGAAGAUGUGUCGGCUCAGUAAGUCGUUUAGAACACAAAAAUAGCCGUUAUGAUCCCAGCGAUCUUCCGCAAAAAAGGGGUAAAGGUAGAUAUAUAUUGGCGUUCAAUUGGGUCCAAACGACAUAUCGGCGUCACUUGAUCACAGGCAUAUAUGGCGUACAAAGGUCGAAGAGACGCUUACGAUCAAAAUUCUUUGACUCCGCAGACGUUUUUUUUUUUUUUUUUUCUUCGCCCACUUGGCUCAAAUACUUCUUCUAUAGGCUUAUUCUAGCACAUAAGGUUGUCCAUCUCUAGCACAUAAGGUAGCUGUUGUUCUAUUUCGCUUGACAAUUAACUUCUUCCUUAGCUUAACAGGUGGAUCAUAGGCUGAGCAUCAGGGUUACCGCGACAUUGCGAUAAGGCCAUCACUUCAUCAAUAUCAUAACUGUUUACCGGACCUCUCCUAAUUAAAAAAAUCGUUUGCUCCUAUCCAGGCUUUUUCGAUUUUUUUCUUUACACGUCAUGACGCCAAGAGAAGUUCACGUGACGUCACAGAUGCAUAACCUGUUGAUUGGCCCGUACGCGAGGGACAACAGUUAAUAUCCGCCUAAUACCAUGCCUUCUCCAUGCAGCCACACGCCCACUUUUCCUCGUCGUCUCGCUUGCCUGUGGUGCAAAUCAACUGAUUUCAUCUCUCAUAGCGUGUUUUACACUGCGCCCGCGGCGACAACAGCGUCUAGCGAAAAAGCGCAGGAUCCUGACAAGCGGAAGUUUAUGGCGUUUUAUUACAAGGGCGCCGACGAGACGUUAGGUACUGACGUAGUGUCCACGUGUCUUCUAGAAAAAUACGUGAUGCGCUAGAGAGCGCCCGUAUAGGGACAGCAGCGAAGGCAAGAGAGAAACCGUUAUCUUGUGUUCUGGCUCCGGGUAGCUUAGGGGCUCUUUAAGAGGCGCCAUGCAACUCUAUUAGGUACCCCGUGUCUGGAUAAGGAUAGUGUGUUCCCUAGGCAAGCAGCGAAUCCUUCAGCCUCGCUGCACAGUUUUCUGUUAUCCUUUUUUCGCUGCUACUCGACUGCAGGUAAAAAAAGAUCGUCGAUCGCUAGGAAUGAUUGUGCCCAAUCAGUGCCCUGACUCAUCCAGCUUCACUAGUACUGAGAUGCCUGAAGAUUAUUACUUCAUAAUUCAAAUUAAGGAGGAAAACUUACGGCAACAUUUCACACAGUCGGCGUAUUCGCCAAUACAUAUAGCUUGCUUCUAUGCGUUUGUACAUAGCCUAUGUUCUCAUUUAAGCGUCUUAAGACAAUAUACUGUAUUUCGCUAGAAUAGCAGCUUGGGCUUGUUGGUUUUCCAUCCUGGUGUUAAAAGCGCAAAACGUAGAGGGGACACGAGACGAGAAGACGACACCACAAGCGCUUGUGGCAUGGUCUUCUCGCCUCGUGUCCCGUUUAGGUUUUGCGCUAUUAACACCAAGAAUAUACUGUAUGUACUGCACUGAAUUACGAGCAAAAAAGAUCAGUCAACUCAAUGCCUAUACAACUAGUCUGAAAGCAUUUCAUAGCAAAAAUGUCCCCCAACCAUCUAAGCUGCAUUGGUUGCACAUUUAUGAACCGAAGGUUGCCAGCAUUGAUCAGGAGUUCCACACUACGGCGUGCUCCAUAAUCAGAUCGUGGUUUUGGCACGUGCAUAGAACCCCAGAAUUUAACCUUCUAAGCAAUACCUAGUUGCUGUAUAUAAUAUAUAGCAUUUUAAUUUAACACGAAUAUUUCUUGCUAGCAAGUGGGUUAGUAGAAUAUAGCAAUAUAUAGUAAUGUACGUAUAAUCGAAUUGACAGCACCGUUUUACAAAUCCUGCACCAAAUUUUCAGUGACACCACAAGCUUGCCAUUGCAUGCUUGUUCGGCAGCGUACAAAACUUUAGCACUUGAUAGGCCUGCGAGUUUCAUAUACAUGAGGAAUUAAGAUACGCCUAGUUGAUUGAUUUAGCUUAUUACAUGACUACAUUUUCUUCUUUCUUUGUACUAAUUUGUAUUCCCAAGAGAGAAAUGUUUAAGUUGGGCAAGGACUGACGAAAAUUAAUCAUUUUACCAUUUUUUUUUUUCGAAAUUAGGACUUUCGUUAAUGUACUUUUACACCUUUUCUCCUGUUGACACUUCCGCUGACCAGAAAUCGUGGUUGAAUGAAACUUAGUUCGGGUAUUUUACGAGCCAAAACCCCGAUUUGAUUAUGAGACACGCCGUAAAGGGGGGCACCGGAUUAAACUUGACCACCAGAGGCCGGAUCUUUAACGUGCCCCCAAUGCAUGGGGCAUGGGCGUUUUUUGGCCCAUGCCCCAUGCAUUGGGCCAAAAUUUUGGCCCUCAUCGAAAUGUGGCCGCCGCGGCAUGGAUUUGAUCCCGCGACCACGUGCAUAGCAGCGCAACACCAUAGCCGCUACGCCACUGCAGCGGGUAGAAAUCUUGGUGUUCAUUAGCUUCUUGUCGACGUAGUUGUCACCCGAAGAACUUGUUGUCCCAGUUGGCACUUGCUGUGAGUCAUAACUGCCGCUAAGAAAAUGAACAAACCAUAGACACGAAACAAAAUAAGCACAAUCAAUCAAUCAAUCAAUCAAUAAAGAAAGCAAUUAAUUAAGUAAGUAAUUAAUACCAUUUCAUUGCUUCAUUAAUUGCUUCACUGAUUAAUUGAUCGAUUGAUUGCUUAAUCAAUCAAUCAAUCAAUCAAUGCCUCCCAGCUCGUCGUGAUUGUCUUCUAUAGUGCCUGUCGGUUUCGUGCAUCCAUUUAGCGGCAGUUAGGUCUCACAGUACUUCUCGUCGCUUAUCAUUAUACUGCAAAGCCACCUAAAGUUACAUAUGUGUUCCAAUAAAGAAUGAAAUCUUA